GCGACCGGCGCACGGGUGAGUAACGCGUAUCCAACCUUCCGUACACUCAGGGAUAGCCUUUCGAAAGAAAGAUUAAUACCUGAUGGUAUGAUGAGAUUGCAUGAUAGCAUCAUUAAAGAUUUAUCGGUGUACGAUGGGGAUGCGUUCCAUUAGGUAGUAGGCGGGGUAACGGCCCACCUAGCCAACGAUGGAUAGGGGUUCUGAGAGGAAGGUCCCCCACAUUGGAACUGAGACACGGUCCAAACUCCUACGGGAGGCAGCAGUGAGGAAUAUUGGUCAAUGGACGAGAGUCUGAACCAGCCAAGUAGCGUGAAGGAUGAAGGUCCUACGGAUUGUAAACUUCUUUUAUAAGGGAAUAAACCCUCCCACGUGUGGGAGCUUGUAUGUACCUUAUGAAUAAGCAUCGGCUAACUCCGUGCCAGCAGCCGCGGUAAUACGGAGGAUGCGAGCGUUAUCCGGAUUUAUUGGGUUUAAAGGGAGCGCAGACGGGUCGUUAAGUCAGCCGUGAAAGUUUGGGGCUCAACCUUAAAAUUGCAGUUGAUACUGGCGUCCUUGAGUGCGGUUGAGGUGUGCGGAAUUCGUGGUGUAGCGGUGAAAUGCUUAGAUAUCACGAAGAACUCCGAUUGCGAAGGCAGCAC
rnacentral:rRNA from 1 species